rnacentral:rRNA from 1 species
UACGUAGGGCGCAAGCGUUGUCCGGAAUUAUUGGGCGUAAAGAGCUCGUAGGAGGCUUGUCACGUCGGGUGUGAAAGCCCGGGGCUUAACCCCGGGUCUGCAUUCGAUACGGGCUGGCUAGAGUGUGGUAGGGGAGAUCGGAAUUCCUGGUGUAGCGGUGAAAUGCGCAGAUAUCAGGAGGAACACCGGUGGCGAAGGCGGAUCUCUGGGCCAUUACUGACGCUGAGGAGCGAAAGCGUGGGGAGCGAACAGG